ACAAAUGACACUGAUCUAACAUCAGUUUUGCGUUUCUCUCACAAACGAUAAAGGCUAUAAAUGUGGUGUUCUGUAAAGUGGUCCCAGAUCUGUGCAUAAGGGAACUUAACCUGAGAGGUAUACCAAGGAUAGGGUAUGGCUUUAAAACCCUCUAGUUUACAUUGACGUCACAGGAAGGCGGCUCUCCGCGCGCACAGGUGUUCUCCACAGGUGAUGGCGAGGAAAUGAAAAUGGUGCUUCUUGAAAAACAAGUUCAACUCUUCACUGAAGUUAUUUGACCUCAUCACAGCUUAGGCAUGGCUCUAAACUGCCUGGGGAACUGUGCGCCGUUAUUUUUCCUAGCCAUCGCUUUUGACGUCGGCGGUUUGACAUUGCUUUUAGUUGGUAUUUUCGCGGAUCUAAAGUUGGACGGUCACUUCUACGGUGAUUUCCUCAUCUACACGGGUACACUCAUCAUCUUCCUAAGUCUGGGUUGGUGGAUUUUGUGGUACACGGGCAACAUAAAGGUUUCCUCCGAGGACUUUGAGAAAAGCACCCUGGACAACUUUGCGCACUGGGCGAGAAAGUUUUCGGAGCGGCUCUCGAAGAGCGGGAUAAAAACUCUGGAAGCCGGGGAGAAGUGCAUGGUGAAUAGGAAGGAAUCGGUCAACAGGACAGUGCCUGUUCACGCUCCAUCACGAAUUACGUGGGAGCACAGCAUCAGCGUGACAGGACACGACAAUGGAGGAUACGACCGACGUUUUGACAACCCGCCGACGGAGAAAACGGUCGAGCUGGGGAUUCUGAAGAAGUCUGAAGUGUUAUUGCAAAGCGUUGUGGAUAGCAAAGCGGAGAGGCUUCUCUGACAGAGCUGGUGAUCUCGGAUUCUCCAGUUUGAAAAACGUAUGCCUACCCCAAGCGCUGCUUUUCAAAUCCCAACCGACUGAAUACCUUUUUAGCCUAUAGGAACCAAAGACACUUUUUCAAUAGAGAAUACUAUUUUCGUUCAGGAAGAGGCCGUCUGACACAAUGGCCGGGCCCUACACUGAGGAUAGAAAUGGCAGAAUUUUACUUGUAAUUAGCGAAAUAAUUAAAUGUAUUAUGUCCUAAAUUUUACAUGGUUCAUUUUGAAGAUAUUUUCUUUAAAUAAAGUUUCUUAUUUUUUCUAACGUCAUAUCUCUGAGUUGUUAAUCAGACAUCAUUGACUGGAUAGCUCACAGUUAGACAUCAAAAACAUUAUACUUCAAAAUCCAUGAGGGACAUAAACAAAUCAAAACACAUCUUCCAAAGCUCAGAUCCUAUGAUUUAUUAAUGUAUAGUGUAUGUUUGUAUCUGGUUAGGUAGGUAGUAUUGAUAUGCUAUUUGACUUCUGUUUGUGUUGUGUAAGAGCAGGUGUGUUGAUAGCACUAUGCUGGCUGUCUGCCACUGGUUAUACUGAUAGAUCCCUAUAUGUAUGUAUGUAUGUAUGUAUGUAUGUGAGAUAUAUAUCUCACACACACACACAGAGAGCGAGAGAGACGAUAGAGAAUGUAUCGUGUAGAACAAUUUUUUAAUUUUUUUUUUAUCUGGAACAUUCUGAACCUUGCGGAAUACACACUGGCACAAGGGCUGCAUCUCCAUUCCAUAUUUAAUUUUUAAUUUAACCUUUAUUUAACUAGGCAAGUCGGCUAAGAACAAAUUCUUAUUUACAAUGACGGCCUAGGAACAGUGGGUUAACUGCCUUGUUCAGGGCCAGAACAACAGAUUUUUACCUUGUCAGUUUGGGGAUUCGAUCUAGCAACCUUUCGGGUACUGGCUUGUUACCUAUAAAAAAUAAAUGAACUCUCCGUUAGUUAUUGGAGUGUUAGUUUGCGAAGAUGUUUCUCAUGUCUAUCAAACAUUAAUAUUCCCCAACCUUUUGAAGCCACCUGUAGGGCAUAGGAUAAGCACCCAACCAACCCCUAGUGUUGGUAUGUUUUAUGAACUGGAAACGUGUCCAAAACCCCCACAACAGAGCUGGAGGAAGAACAUUUAACCUUUUUGUCAUCGUUAGUGAGACUAACGCACACGUUCCCCCUGGCAGCAGUCCCGCUAUGGGAACUAUGUGAGAUGUGAAGUGUGAUAGGUCAAGCUCACUGGAAUGUAGCCUACACGGGCCUUUUUCUUAACACCACUUCCUUGCUUCCUCAUUCAGUCAGAUGCACUGUAGGGUAGAUUACCUGAACAAUGCAGAGAAAGUACAGGGAUAUAUGUAUGAGUAGUUAUCCUAGUGUAAACAUUGAAAUAGUCUUGUUACAGUGAAUGCAAGGGAAAAUAGCUAGCAGCCAUAGAAUCAUUAGAAGUGGUAUUUACAUAGUGGUAGGAGGAGAAACACCUUCACGACAGACACUCUCUUCACCAUGGGCUACACUCAGUACUUGGGCCGCUGCCUUCUCUUCUUCUUCAUCGCCAUCUUCCUGGAUGCUGUGGGCCUCAUCCUGUUCUUCCUGGGCAUCUUUGCACCCUUCAGCUUCUGGGACUUUUUGGUCUUCUCUGGGCCCAUCAUCAUCUUCCUCAGCCUGUUCUUCUGGAUCUUCUGGUACGUAGGCAACCUGGAGGUUGAUGUGGACGACGUUCUGCCCAAGUGACUUACUUCUGGGGAUUGGAGAGAGACGGUGGUGGGGGUGGUGUGGACUGGUGAUGAGAUUCUAGCCAGUGGGGCAGAAAUGGACAUGGAGUGAAAAUGUAGUAUUUACAACAGAGCACUUUUGAAGACAGAAGAUCCACCCUGGACAUCAAUUACUCAAUCUCUGCUAGAGCUAGGUGUGUUAUUCUGACAUUGUUGUUCCAUAAAGAGAGAAUUAUAGAUUUGCUAACUGUUUCCUUCUGCUCAGGUCUGUCUUAAUAUAUUUAGGUCUGUCUUAAUAUAUCUCGAUAGGACUUCUUGGUUUAAUGUAUAAACAUUUGUUUUGGAGUAAGUACUUCAAUACUUUAAUGUAUUAUGUUCUCUUUCAAGUGAUCAUUCUUUGCUGGAACUGCAGUACUGAAUAAUGGAUCAUUAGGGGAUGUUUACACUGACUCAACAAGGUGAAGACUUUCACCUAAACGUGAGAGAUGAGCUUGUUUUUUGGUUUCCUGGGAUUCCUCGCUUUGUAUAAUGUCGAUGCGGUUUUGUUUUUGAGGCUGUGCAUUUUGUUUGUUUAUCAACUUUUAAAAAGAUUACACUGAAUUAAAUUGUACAAUCGCAUUUGACUUUUUAGAUAAAUGUUUUUUUUAAAGCACUGUUACUUUACAUUUGAAA